AACGAACGCUGGCGGCGCGUCUUAAGCAUGCAAGUCGGGCGAGAAGGUGGUGCUUGCACCACUGGGAAGCGGCGGACUGGUGAGUAACGCGUGGGUGACCUGCCCUGGGGAUGGGGAUAGCCGGUAGAAAUAUCGGGUAAUACCGAAUACGACCGUUGGACUAUGGUUCGGCGGGGAAAGCGGCCAAGGCCGCGUCCUGGGAUGGGCCCGCGUCAUAUUAGGUAGUUGGUGUGGUAAAGGCGCACCAAGCCUGAGAUAUGUAGCCGGCCUGAGAGGGUGAACGGCCACAUUGGGACUGAGAUACGGCCCAAACUCCUACGGGAGGCAGCAGCUAAGAAUAUUCCGCAAUGGUCGAAAGACUGACGGAGCGACGCCGCGUGGAUGACGAAGGCCGAAAGGUUGUAAAGUUCUUUUGCGGAUGAAGAAUAAUUGCCGGAGGGAAUGCCGGUGAGAUGACGUUAGUCCGCGAAUAAGCCCCGGCUAAUUACGUGCCAGCAGCCGCGGUAACACGUAAGGGGCGAGCGUUGUUCGGAAUUAUUGGGCGUAAAGGGCGCGUAGGCGGCUUUUCAGGUCUGUAGUGAAAUCCCCGGGCUUAACCCGGGAACUGCUAUGGAAACCGGAGGGCUGGAGUCAGUGAGGGGCAGUUGGAAUUCCUGGUGUAGGGGUGAAAUCUAUAGAUAUCAGGAAGAACACCGGUAGCGAAGGCGAACUGCCAGCGCACGACUGACGCUGAGGCGCGAAAGUGCGGGGAGCGAACAGGAUUAGAUACCCUGGUAGUCCGCACCAUAAACGAUGUGCACUAGAUGUUGGGCCUAGCGGUUCAGUGUCGGAGCGAACGCGAUAAGUGCACCGCCUGGGGAGUAUGCCCGCAAGGGUGAAACUCAAAGGAAUUGACGGGGGCCCGCACAAGCGGUGGAGCAUGUGGUUUAAUUCGAUGAUACGCGAGGAACCUUACCUGGGUUUGACAUGGCAGUGAAUGAUAAGGAGACUUAUCAGUCUGGAAACGGACGCUGUCACAGGUGCUGCCAUGGCUGUCGUCAGCUCGUGCCGUGAGGUGUUGGGUUAAGUCCCGCAACGAGCGCAACCCCUACUGCCAGUUACCAGCAAGUAAAGUUGGGGACUCUGGCGGAACUGCCGGUGACAAACCGGAGGAAGGUGGGGAUGACGUCAAGUCAUCAUGGCCCUUAUGUCCAGGGCUACACACGUGCUACAAUGGGCGGUACAAAGCGAAGCGAUGCCGCGAGGCUAUAGCAAAGCGCAAAAAGCCGCCCUUAGUUCGGAUUGAAGUCUGAAACCCGACUUCAUGAAGUUGGAAUCGCUAGUAAUCGCAUAUCAGCAUGAUGCGGUGAAUACGUUCCCGGGCCUUGUACACACCGCCCGUCACACCAUCCGAGUUGGGGAUACCCGAAGCCGGUAGUCUAACCGCAAGGAGGACGCUGUCGAAGGUAUGCUUAGUGAGGAGGGUG
rnacentral:rRNA from 1 species